rnacentral:rRNA from 1 species
AGAGUUUGAUCCUGGCUCAGGAUGAACGCUAGCGGCAGGCUUAAUACAUGCAAGUCGUGGGGCAGCAGGACUGUAGCAAUACAGUUGCUGGCGACCGGCAAACGGGUGCGGAACACGUACGCAACCUUCCUUCAAGUGGGGGAUAGCCCAGGGAAACUUGGAUUAAUACCCCGUAAUAUUAUGAGGUGGCAUCAUUUUAUAAUUAUAGCUACGGCGCUUGGAGAUGGGCGUGCGGCUGAUUAGGUAGUUGGCGGGGUAACGGCCCACCAAGCCUUCGAUCAGUAACUGGUGUGAGAGCACGACCAGUCACACGGGCACUGAGGCACGGGCCUGACUCCUACGGGAGGCAGCAGUAAGGAAUAUUGGUCAAUGGACGCAAGUCUGAACCAGCCAUGCCGCGUGGAGGAUGAAGGUCCUCUGGAUUGUAAA